UCUUUUUCCGCUUUCUACCUGCAAGAAGAAAUAUCUGGAAAAAGAAAAAAAUGCCAGUCAAGAAUAUCAAGAGAACCACUACGGUCUGCCCUACCCGUUCACCUAGCAAAUAUUUAGCAAGUGCCUAUCGUGGGCCAAGCAGUCAAUCUUUCAGUCUUUUUUCUUUUCAACAGGCUUAAUUCACUGUCAUUUUUCUUGUAUACAAACUACAUGGUAACCACAGCUGGAGCCUGGGUCUGCUGCACGGAACCUCCAGUAUGGGUCUUUAUAGGAUGGUCAGUGAGUUCCUGAGAGGGGGCCUCGGAGAACGUGGUCUCCUUCCAGAGGUCGGCAUGAGACAGCUCUAGGUCUUGGAGAUGGCAUCCCAAGUGGCCUUGGCGAAGUUGCCCGGGGUGGCCGUGCAGCGGCCGGCGGAAGUUGAGCAGCCCGCACAACGCCGGGCCCCCUGGGCCAGGGACGUGGUGCUACAGCAUGGAGCUGCAGCGUCCAGUCACCUUGCAAGGGACGGUGUGGAGCUUGCUGAUCUCGUUCUCCCAGAGGCCUUGCUGCACCGGGGCUAGAGACCUUGGCCAAGCAUGAUGGUCCCAUGGAUGUCUGUGGCCACCUCACUGGAACAUUUAACAGCGAAUCCCCUAUGGCAACAAAUGUCUUGAACCCGGUCUGCCUGUCGGCAUGGGUCUGCUUUUGCAUGGGCAUGAUCUUCAAAACCUCAUCCUUGAAGGACGAUCCGAGGAAAACCUCGAUGAUCUCAGAUUCCUUGAUGGGCAGGUGGAAGAGCUCACUGUACUGUACUCCCCUUCUUCUCGUGCUGAUGUGGGAUGAUAAAAUGCCUACGCGAUGAGAUGAAAAGAGGGGGCAUUAGGCUACUAUUGACCUGCUAAACCUACGUCAGAAGAAGGACCCAUCUGCUUCCAGAUGACAGUGACUGCAGUGGCAUGAACACUAUCAUACUUGUGCAUCCUUCCCAAACCCUACUGGAUCUGGACAAGAACAGGGGAGCAGGAGAAUGGCAGCAGCCAAGGAAGGGACUGUGGAAUCCAACAGGUACGGGUUUGACUCUGGCUCUGCCACUUAUCAGUGUGAUUUGGGGGUAGGUAUGUCACUCCCUAAGCCCCACGCAUCUAUAAAGCAGGGAUGAAGUUGUGGUAGGAUUAUGGGAGAUAAUAUAUACACAGAGCAUUUGGCACAUGCCUGGUACAUCAUAAACACUUAAUAAAUUAGUGGUUAUAACAAC